AACGGCAUUAAGUGCUUGCACUUUUUGGACGUCGACCGGCGCACGGGUGAGUAACGCGUAUCCAACCUGCCCUUUACUUGGGGAUAACCCGUUGAAAGACGGACUAAUACCCAAUGAUAUUCAUUGAUGACAUCUGAUUUGAAUUAAAGAUUUAUCGGUAUAGGAUGGGGAUGCGUCUGAUUAGCUUGUUGGUGAGGUAACGGCUCACCAAGGCAACGAUCAGUAGGGGUUCUGAGAGGAAGGUCCCCCACAUUGGAACUGAGACACGGUCCAAACUCCUACGGGAGGCAGCAGUGAGGAAUAUUGGUCAAUGGACGAGAGUCUGAACCAGCCAAGUAGCGUGCAGGAUGACGGCCCUAUGGGUUGUAAACUGCUUUUGUUUGGGAAUAAUCGACAUUACGUGUAAUGUUUUGCAUGUACCAUUCGAAUAAGGACCGGCUAAUUCCGUGCCAGCCGCCGCGGUAAAAGGG
rnacentral:rRNA from 1 species